rnacentral:rRNA from 1 species
GGUUAAGCGACUAAGCGUACACGGUGGAUGCCCUGGCAGUCAGAGGCGAUGAAGGACGUGCUAAUCUGCGAUAAGCGUCGGUAAGGUGAUAUGAACCGUUAUAACCGGCGAUUUCCGAAUGGGGAAACCCAGUGUGUUUCGACACACUAUCAUUAACUGAAUCCAUAGGUUAAUGAGGCGAACCGGGGGAACUGAAACAUCUAAGUACCCCGAGGAAAAGAAAUCAACCGAGAUUCCCCCAGUAGCGGCGAGCGAACGGGGAGCAGCCAGAGCCUGAAUCAGUGUGUGUGUUAGUGGAAGCGUCUGGAAAGGCGCGCGAUACAGGGUGACAGCCCCGUACACAAAAAUGCACAUGCUGUGAGCUCGAUGAGUAGGGCGGGACACGUGGUAUCCUGUCUGAAUAUGGGGGGACCAUCCUCCAAGGCUAAAUACUCCUGACUGACCGAUAGUGAACCAGUACCGUGAGGGAAAGGCGAAAAGAACCCCGGCGAGGGGAGUGAAAAAGAACCUGAAACCGUGUACGUACAAGCAGUGGGAGCACGCUUAGGCGUGUGACUGCGUACCUUUUGUAUAAUGGGUCAGCGACUUAUAUUCUGUAGCAAGGUUAACCGAAUAGGGGAGCCGAAGGGAAACCGAGUCUUAACUGGGCGUUAAGUUGCAGGGUAUAGACCCGAAACCCGGUGAUCUAGCCAUGGGCAGGUUGAAGGUUGGGUAACACUAACUGGAGGACCGAACCGACUAAUGUUGAAAAAUUAGCGGAUGACUUGUGGCUGGGGGUGAAAGGCCAAUCAAACCGGGAGAUAGCUGGUUCUCCCCGAAAGCUAUUUAGGUAGCGCCUCGUGAAUUCAUCUCCGGGGGUAGAGCACUGUUUCGGCAAGGGGGUCAUCCCGACUUACCAACCCGAUGCAAACUGCGAAUACCGGAGAAUGUUAUCACGGGAGACACACGGCGGGUGCUAACGUCCGUCGUGAAGAGGGAAACAACCCAGACCGCCAGCUAAGGUCCCAAAGUCAUGGUUAAGUGGGAAACGAUGUGGGAAGGCCCAGACAGCCAGGAUGUUGGCUUAGAAGCAGCCAUCAUUUAAAGAAAGCGUAAUAGCUCACUGGUCGAGUCGGCCUGCGCGGAAGAUGUAACGGGGCUAAACCAUGCACCGAAGCUGCGGCAGCGACACUAUGUGUUGUUGGGUAGGGGAGCGUUCUGUAAGCCUGUGAAGGUGUGCUGUGAGGCAUGCUGGAGGUAUCAGAAGUGCGAAUGCUGACAUAAGUAACGAUAAAGCGGGUGAAAAGCCCGCUCGCCGGAAGACCAAGGGUUCCUGUCCAACGUUAAUCGGGGCAGGGUGAGUCGACCCCUAAGGCGAGGCCGAAAGGCGUAGUCGAUGGGAAACAGGUUAAUAUUCCUGUACUUGGUGUUACUGCGAAGGGGGGACGGAGAAGGCUAUGUUGGCCGGGCGACGGUUGUCCCGGUUUAAGCGUGUAGGCUGGUUUUCCAGGCAAAUCCGGAAAAUCAAGGCUGAGGCGUGAUGACGAGGCACUACGGUGCUGAAGCAACAAAUGCCCUGCUUCCAGGAAAAGCCUCUAAGCAUCAGGUAACAUCAAAUCGUACCCCAAACCGACACAGGUGGUCAGGUAGAGAAUACCAAGGCGCUUGAGAGAACUCGGGUGAAGGAACUAGGCAAAAUGGUGCCGUAACUUCGGGAGAAGGCACGCUGAUAUGUAGGUGAGGUCCCUCGCGGAUGGAGCUGAAAUCAGUCGAAGAUACCAGCUGGCUGCAACUGUUUAUUAAAAACACAGCACUGUGCAAACACGAAAGUGGACGUAUACGGUGUGACGCCUGCCCGGUGCCGGAAGGUUAAUUGAUGGGGUUAGCGCAAGCGAAGCUCUUGAUCGAAGCCCCGGUAAACGGCGGCCGUAACUAUAACGGUCCUAAGGUAGCGAAAUUCCUUGUCGGGUAAGUUCCGACCUGCACGAAUGGCGUAAUGAUGGCCAGGCUGUCUCCACCCGAGACUCAGUGAAAUUGAACUCGCUGUGAAGAUGCAGUGUACCCGCGGCAAGACGGAAAGACCCCGUGAACCUUUACUAUAGCUUGACACUGAACAUUGAGCCUUGAUGUGUAGGAUAGGUGGGAGGCUUAGAAGUGUGGACGCCAGUCUGCAUGGAGCCGACCUUGAAAUACCACCCUUUAAUGUUUGAUGUUCUAACGUUGACCCGUAAUCCGGGUUGCGGACAGUGUCUGGUGGGUAGUUUGACUGGGGCGGUCUCCUCCUAAAGAGUAACGGAGGAGCACGAAGGUUGGCUAAUCCUGGUCGGACAUCAGGAGGUUAGUGCAAUGGCAUAAGCCAGCUUGACUGCGAGCGUGACGGCGCGAGCAGGUGCGAAAGCAGGUCAUAGUGAUCCGGUGGUUCUGAAUGGAAGGGCCAUCGCUCAACGGAUAAAAGGUACUCCGGGGAUAACAGGCUGAUACCGCCCAAGAGUUCAUAUCGACGGCGGUGUUUGGCACCUCGAUGUCGGCUCAUCACAUCCUGGGGCUGAAGUAGGUCCCAAGGGUAUGGCUGUUCGCCAUUUAAAGUGGUACGCGAGCUGGGUUUAGAACGUCGUGAGACAGUUCGGUCCCUAUCUGCCGUGGGCGCUGGAGAACUGAGGGGGGCUGCUCCUAGUACGAGAGGACCGGAGUGGACGCAUCACUGGUGUUCGGGUUGUCAUGCCAAUGGCACUGCCCGGUAGCUAAAUGCGGAAGAGAUAAGUGCUGAAAGCAUCUAAGCACGAAACUUGCCCCGAGAUGAGUUCUCCCUGACCCUUUAAGGGUCCUGAAGGAACGUUGAAGACGACGACGUUGAUAGGCCGGGUGUGUAAGCGCAGCGAUGCGUUGAGCUAACCGGUACUAAUGAACCGUGAGGCUUAACCUU